UACGUAGGGCGCAAGCGUUAUCCGGAAUUAUUGGGCGUAAAGAGCUCGUAGGCGGUUUGUCGCGUCUGCCGUGAAAGUCCGGGGCUCAACUCCGGAUCUGCGGUGGGUACGGGCAGACUAGAGUGAUGUAGGGGAGACUGGAAUUCCAGGUGUAGCGGUGAAAUGCGUAGAUAUCUGGAGGAACACCGGUGGCGAAGGCGGCAUCCUGGACCGACACUGACGCUGAGGAGCGAAAGCCAGGGGAGCAAACGGG
rnacentral:rRNA from 1 species